GACGAACGCUGGCGGCGUGCUUAACACAUGCAAGUCGAACGGAAAGGCCCUGCUUUUGUGGGGUGCUCGAGUGGCGAACGGGUGAGUAACACGUGAGUAACCUGCCCUUGACUUUGGGAUAACUUCAGGAAACUGGGGCUAAUACCGGAUAUGAGCUCCUGCUGCAUGGUGGGGGUUGGAAAGUUUCGGCGGUUGGGGAUGGACUCGCGGCUUAUCAGCUUGUUGGUGGGGUAGUGGCUUACCAAGGCUUUGACGGGUAGCCGGCCUGAGAGGGUGACCGGCGACAUUGGGACUGAGAUACGGCCCAGAAUCCUACGGGAGGCAGCAGUGGGGAAUAUUGCACAAUGGGCGGAAGCCUGAUGCAGCAACGCCGCGUGCGGGAUGACGGCCUUCGGGUUGUAAACCGCUUUCGCAUGUGACGAAGCGUGAGUGACGGUAAUGGGUAAAGAAGCACCGGCUAACUACGUG
rnacentral:rRNA from 1 species